rnacentral:lncRNA from 1 species
UACCUGUCCUUCACUGAGGCUCCUCCAUCCACCAACUCCAACAUGGGAAUCAUUGCUGUCCUGGUUGUCCUUGGAGCUGUGGCCAUCAUAGGAGCUGUGGUGGCUGUUGUGAGGAAGAGGAGGAGAAACACAGGUAGGAAAGGGCAGGGUCUGAUUUUUCUCUCAGCUUCCUUUAGAAGUGUGCUCUGCCCCAUCAGUGGGAAACCCAUCCACACCCCCAUUGCUACUGUCUCUAACCUGAGUCUGUGUCAGUUCCGGAAACUUCCUAGGGUUAGACUCUCCCUUUAAUUCUCACAGCUUUUCUUCUCACAGGUGGAAAAGGAGGGGACUAUGCUCCAGCUCAAAGUAAGUGUGGGGGCAGGAGUGUCUCUGAGGCUCUUGGGGUGAAGCUACAGCUCAGUCAGCCCAUAAUGGCCCCUCCAUCCCCACCCGUCAUUCUCACCAACAUCUUACUUCUUCCACUGCAGGCAGCAACAGUGUCCACAGCUGGGACUCCUCUCAGGAGACUUGAAAAGGUGACACCUGGGGGCUUGGUAUUGGGCCUGGGGCCAAAGG